AUUGAACGCUGGCGGCAGGCCUAACACAUGCAAGUCGAGCGGUAGAGAGGUGCUUGCAUCUCUUGAGAGCGGCGGACGGGUGAGUAAUGCCUAGGAAUCUGCCUAGUGGUGGGGGAUAACGUUCGGAAACGGACGCUAAUACCGCAUACGUCCUACGGGAGAAAGCGGGGGAUCUUCGGACCUCGCGCCAUUAGAUGAGCCUAGGUCGGAUUAGCUAGUUGGUGAGGUAAUGGCUCACCAAGGCGACGAUCCGUAACUGGUCUGAGAGGAUGAUCAGUCACACUGGAACUGAGACACGGUCCAGACUCCUACGGGAGGCAGCAGUGGGGAAUAUUGGACAAUGGGCG
rnacentral:rRNA from 1 species